rnacentral:rRNA from 1 species
UUCUGGCUCAGGACGAACGCUGGCGGCGUGCUUCAUACAUGCAAGUCGAGCGAGAAUCUCUAGCUUGCUAGAGAGGAAAGUGGCGGACGGGUGAGUAAAAUGUAGGUAAUCUGCCUUUAAGCGGGGGACAACAGUUGGAAACGAUUGCUAAUACCCCAUAUGAGCGUACCUGAGAUGGUAUUCUUGAAAACUCCGGUGCUUAGAGAUGAGCCUGCAUCUGAUUAGCUAGUUGGGGGUGUAAUGGACCACCAAGGCGACGAUCAGUAGCUGGUUUGAGAGGAUGAUCAGCCACAAUGGGACUGAGACACGGCCCAUACUCCUACGGGAGGCAGCAGUAGGGAAUUUUGCGCAAUGGGGGAAACCCUGACGCAGCAACGCCGCGUGAAUGAGACGGCCUUCGGGUUGUAAAGUUCUGUCAAUAGGGACGAAAAAUGACGGUACCUAUAGAGGAAGCACCGGCUAACUCCGUGCCAGCCGCUGC